AGCCUGAUGCAGCCAUGCCGCGUGAGUGAUGAAGGCCUUCGGGUUGUAAACCUCUUUCUCUGGGGAAAAUAAUGACGGUAACCGUAGAAGAAGCCCCGGCUAACUCCGUGCCAGCACCCGCGGUAAUACGGAGGGGGCUAGCGUUGUUCGGAAUCACUGGGCGUAAAGCGCGCGUAGGCGGAUGGGUCAGUUGGGGGUGAAAUCCCGAGGCUCACCCUCAGAACAGCCCUCGAAACUGCGCGUCUGGAGUCCGAGAGAGGAGAGCGGAAUUUCCAGUGUAGAGGUGGAAUUCGUAUAUAUUGGAAAGAACACCAGUGGCGAAGGCGGCUCUCUGGCUCGGUUCUGACGCUGAUGUGCGAAAGCGUGGGGAGCGAACAGGAUUAUAUACCCUGGUAGUCCACGCCGUAAACGAUGGAUGCCAUAUGUUGGGCGGUUAUCUGUUCAGUGGCGCCGCUAACGCAUUAAGCAUCCCGCCUGGGGAGUACGGUCGCAAGACUAAAACUCAAA
rnacentral:rRNA from 1 species